rnacentral:rRNA from 2 species
CAGGUUUACCUGUGUGACUGCGUACCUUUUGUAUAAUGGGUCAGCGACUUAUAUUCUGUAGCAAGGUUAACCGUAUAGGGGAGCCGUAGGGAAACCGAGUCUUAACCGGGCGUUAAGUUGCAGGGUAUAGACCCGAAACCCGGUGAUCUAGCCAUGGGCAGGUUGAAGGUUGGGUAACACUAACUGGAGGACCGAACCGACUAAUGUUGAAAAAUUAGCGGAUGACCUGUGGCUGGGGGUGAAAGGCCAAUCAAACCGGGAGAUAGCUGGUUCUCCCCGAAAGCUAUUUAGGUAGCGCCUCGUGAAUUCAUCUCCGGGGGUAGAGCACUGUUUCGGCUAGGGGGCCAUCCCGGCUUACCAACCCGAUGCAAACUGCGAAUACCGGAGAAUGUUAUCACGGGAGACACACGGCGGGUGCUAACGUCCGUCGUGAAGAGGGAAACAACCCAGACCGCCAGCUAAGGUCCCAAAGUCAUGGUUAAGUGGGAAACGAUGUGGGAAGGCCCAGACAGCCAGGAUGUUGGCUUAGAAGCAGCCAUCAUUUAAAGAAAGCGUAAUAGCUCACUGGUCGAGUCGGCCUGCGCGGAAGAUGUAACGGGGCUAAACCAUG